rnacentral:tRNA from 1 species
UGCCCGGUAGCCAAGCGGUAAGGCACCAGGUUUUGGUCCUGGCAUUUCGGGGGUUCGAAUCCCUCCCGGGCAA